AAAAAAAAUAAAGAAGCACUAGAAGCUUUCAAUGAAAAGAACAAAGAGAAAGCUCAACUAAUUACCACAUUAAUGGAGCUGCUGACUGAGAGUGAAAGAUUAAGAAUGAAGAAACUGGAAGAACUGAGCAAGAAUGUAGAAUCCAAACCUUGACAUGUCUAUUGCAUUACACCAAUCAUUUUUCUAAUGUGUGGUUUUCCUUGAAUAAAGAUGUGUUUGGAAGUAGCCAAAAGUAUAUGGUCAGACUAAAAUUUAUCAUGAUUUAUUUUUACAAUUAGAAAAUAGAAUUUUGUUUUGCAUAAUAACAGAAAACAUUUGCACUCCAUGCAAUGCAUAGCCUCAUGUACCAUUUCAAUUAGUUGGUUCUAUUUUAAUGUAUUAAAAGUCAA